CCUGCCAGUAGUCAUAUGCUUGUCUCAAAGAUUAAGCCAUGCAUGUCUAAGUAUAAGCAAUUAUACAGCGAAACUGCGAAUGGCUCAUUAUAUAAGUUAUCGUUUAUUUGAUAGUGCCUUACUACUUGGAUAACCGUGGUAAUUCUAGAGCUAAUACAUGCUAAAAACCCCGACUUCGGAAGGGGUGUAUUUAUUAGAUACAAAACCAAUGCCCUUCGGGGCUCUUUGGUGAUUCAUGAUAACUAUACGAAUCGCACGGCCUUGCGCCGGCGAUGGUUCAUUCAAAUUUCUUCCCUAUCAACUUUCGAUGUUUGGGUAUUGGCCAAACAUGGUUGCAACGGGUAACGGAGGGUUAGGGCUCGACCCCGGAGAAGGAGCCUGAGAAACGGCUACUACAUCCAAGGAAGGCAGCAGGCGCGCAAAUUACCCAAUCCCGACUCGGGGAGGUAGUGACAAUAAAUACUGAUACAGGGCCCUUUCGGGCCUUGUAAUUGGAAUGAGUACAAUUUAAAUCCCUUAACGAGGAACAAUUGGA
rnacentral:rRNA from 1 species